GAAUGUGAGGGCGAUCUGGCUGCAACAUCUGUCACCCCACUGAUCGCCAGUGUUGAUUCAGCUAUCUGGCUGGCUAGGAGGGUGUCCCCUUCUUCCCUCACAGCUCCAUGUGCAUCCCUCCCGAAGAUGUGCGUUUGGUCAAAGAGGACGACCUUCCCCGAUAGAGACGUACCGUUCAUCGGUCAAGGGUACAGGGUAGCUGCACUUCCCUGCUUAACAUGAGCCAGCAGUGUGCCCAGGUGGCCAAGAAGGCCAACAGCAUCCUGGCCUGUAUCAGGAAUAG
rnacentral:snRNA from 1 species